AUCCAGCUGACGUGUCACAAAUAGAACGAAACGCACGUCCUGGAU
rnacentral:hammerhead_ribozyme from 1 species